UAGCACCCGAAGGGCUCGCCCACGACAAGUCAUUUAUCGGCUUCAAAUAAAGAAGUGGAAGAAACUAGAGCACUAUCAAAAUCACCUGCUAUUUCCUUGAGGACAGGAAUGAGGCACAAGGUAUUCAACUAGGAUUUGCCAGAGUAGACAAGCUGCAGGGAAUCAGCGUUGUCCAGAAACUCUGAAAGGUGACAUAGAUUCGGUAUUUGAAUCCUUCUUGGUAAAGCUGAGGAAGAAAGAAAACUAGGGAAAGAACCUAGAGAAUAUGCUUUCUGAAGAAUGGAAAAUAAAGUUGGCUAAAAUAAUGAAGUCAAAGUUAUUAUUUUAAUCUUAGACUAUGAUAUGUUUGUGAAAAUAAAGCCUCUUAUUAUACACCAAAA